GUUGCCGACAGCACAGACACUAAAACUGGAACGAUACGGAGAGGGUUCUCAUGGCCCCUGUGCAAGGAUGGCACGCAAAUUCCUGAAGCACUCCAUAUUUUC